GGGGGCGUAGCUCAAUUGGUUAGAGCAUCAGAUUGUCGAUCUGAGGGUUGCGGGUUCAAGUCCCGUCGCUCCCGCCA
rnacentral:tRNA from 1 species